AUUUCAACAAUUACAUUGAAAAAUAUCAUAAAUCUCUUAUUAAAUUUCCCGUCGAAUAUUAUUAAUUAUGUAAUAAUAUUUUACGCUAAGGUUACUAACCUUUUAAUAACAUUCCAGUCACAUACUACUAAUAAUAUCUCAAUACAAUAUUAUUAGUCACAUAAAAAUAAUUUAUGUCAUUAAUCACUUUAAUAAACAAUUUAUUUCAAUUGUUUUCUAUUCCUUAAUUAAUAAACUUGUUUAAGCAUUCUAAAAUGUCAUAAACAUUACAACACUUUAAGCCCGACCCAAAUCUUCAUUACAAACUGGCAAACGCCAUGCUCAAGGGUCUCACUUCAUACAUCGCAUUUUUCCUAUUUUUGGACACUUUUGAUUUUUUUGAAAUUUUUAUCCAGCCUCGCUAAAACAGCCAUAACUCUCGCGUUUUAAAACAUGAGCCCACGCGAAGAUAACUUCCAGGGCUACAAUUUUUGUCUCACGACAUUUUUCCAAAAUCAUAACACAUCAGUCCAGAAAUUUACACAAAGGUGGCUGUUCGGAAUUUGAUUAACAGUUUUGAUACACAUCUCCCGAACGCCAUAACUACCUCAUCCGGAAUCGGAAUUAGUCCGUUCCGGAGUCUAUGGAAAGCUAAAACAGUGUACGACAACAUAUCAAAAGCCCAGAAUUUUUAAAGCACAAAAACGGGACGAAAUUGCCCUCGCUACUGACUGCCCCGAAUCUGCCCAUUUUUGGUUAUAAAAACGGAACUGUUUUCACCAAAUCAGUCACUACCCCAUGUAAACUAAACAUUUUUGAGUACUACCACUUGGGUUAACU
rnacentral:lncRNA from 1 species